AGGACGAACGCUGGCGGCGUGCCUAAUACAUGCAAGUCGAACGGUCUUUCUAUGGAAGCUUGCUCCACUGAAAAGAUAGUGGCGAACGGGUGAGUAACACGUGGGUAACCUGCCCAUAAGAGGGGGAUAACAUCCGGAAACGGGUGCUAAUACCGCAUAGUUUUCUUGAUCGCAUGAUCGGGAAAGGAAAGACGGCCUUUGUGCUGUCGCUUAUGGAUGGACCCGCGGCGUAUUAGUUAGUUGGUGAGGUAACGGCCCACCAAGACGAUGAUACGUAGCCGACCUGAGAGGGUGAUCGGCCACAUUGGGACUGAGACACGGCCCAAACUCCUACGGGAGGCAGCAGUAGGGAAUCUUCCGCAAUGGACGAAAGUCUGACGGAGCAACGCCGCGUGAGUGAAGAAAAGGUUUUCGGAUCGUAAAACUCUGUUGUCAGAGAAGAACAAGUUGGAGAGUAACUGCUCCAGCCUUGACGGUAUCUGACCAGAAAGCCACGGCUAACUACGUGCCAGCCGCGGC
rnacentral:rRNA from 1 species